rnacentral:rRNA from 1 species
CCCUUAGAUGUUCUGGGCUGCACGCGCGCUACAAUGAUGAAUUCAACGAGUUUAUAACCUUGGCUGAAAAGCCUGGGUAAUCUUUUGAACUUUCGUCGUGAUGGGGCUAGACCCUUGCAAUUAUUGGUCUCCAACGAGGAAUUCCUAGUAAACGCAAGUCAUCAGCUUGCAUUGAUUACGUCCCUGCCCUUUGUACACACCGCCCGUCGCACCUACCGAUUGAAUGGUCCGGUGAAAUCUUCGGAUUGAGACUUUGAUUUCUUCACGGAAAACGCUGUUUUAAGAAGUUGAUUAAACCUUACCAUUUAGAGGAAGGUGAAGUCGUAACA